UACGUAGGGGGCAAGCGUUGUCCGGAUUUAUUGGGCGUAAAGAGCGUGUAGGCGGCUUGGUAGGUCCGCUGUGAAAACUCGAGGCUCAACCUCGAGAUGUCGGCGGAAACCACUUGGCUAGAGUCCGGAAGAGGAGAGUGGAAUUCCUGGUGUAGCGGUGAAAUGCGCAGAUAUCAGGAAGAACACCUAUGGCGAAGGCAGCUCUCUGGGACGGUACUAACGCUGAGACGCGAAAGCGUGGGGAGCGAACAGG
rnacentral:rRNA from 1 species